UACGAAGGGGGCUAGCGUUGCUCGGAAUCACUGGGCGUAAAGCGCACGUAGGCGGCUUUGUAAGUUAGAGGUGAAAGCCCAGGGCUUAACCCUGGAAUUGCCUUUAAGACUGCAUCGCUAGAAUCGUGGAGAGGUGAGUGGAAUUCCGAGUGUAGAGGUGAAAUGCGUAGAUAUCAGGAGGAACACCUGCGGUGUAGACGGCUUACUGGACGGUAACUGACGCUGAGGCACGAAAGCGUGGGUAGCAAACAGG
rnacentral:rRNA from 1 species